GGACCGCUUAUAAAGUUAUAAUAGCGUCCCACGCUAAGCGCUCAACUCUCAUAUGAUGAGGACCGCUAAAUAAUGGCUAGCUAACAAUAAUUAUAUAUAUAUAUACCGAUCGGUUGCCUCCCAGGCUAUAAUAGCGUCCCACGCUAAGCGCUCUACUCACAUAUGAUGAGAACCGCUAAUAAGACUAUAAUAGCGACUCACAUAUGAUGAGGGCCGCUAAUAAGGUUAGCUAGCAAUAAUCUAUAUAUCAACCCUUUUAUGGUGAAGUACAAUAUUAAAAUACAAAGAUCCACACUUCCCCAAAUAAAUUAUAAUAAACUCAUAGCGCACAGUACAGUUCCCAACUGUACAUGAAAAUAAUAUAAAACACUUGACACGUCCCACGUGUCAACUAAAAUUAGCAAGAGAGUUUCGGAAAAAAAAUAAGUGGAACUCGAUAAUCCAACAAAUUAUUAUAUCUCCAAAUGCCUUUGAAAUUAAAUAACUUUAGCGCAUGCAUGAUAUUAAAAUCAAAGGUCCACUCACAGUGCUCGGCUAUGCUUGCCGACGGCCCGAGGCUUCCUCCAAAUGAUCCUCCUCACGUCCUGAACAAUAAAUAAUCAUUAAGCCUCCAAACCAGGACAAAACUUUAAUAAAAUUCCCGAAAUAACAAGGAAGCCUAUAAUUUCAUUUCUCUUGCCCAACUUCUCCACAUUUUACCUAAUAAGGUUCACAUUACUCCGCACUUACCGAAAGCCAUAAUUUAACCUUUUUAGACUUUAAAACCUGCUAAACCAACUGCCGGAUUUCCAUUCGAAUAACCGCCCAAAUCCUUAAUCAUAGAUAAAUCUUAAACCUUAUCAAAUCUCCUCCAAAAAUUCCAAACUAUACUUCAUUAAACUCCUCUCAUUAAAACAAACCCAAAAAGCAUGAAAAACUGCCCCGCCGGUGGCGGCGGCCGGCAGCCGUUUUCCGGCGACCUCCAAUGCUUCUCAAAUUUUCACAGAAUAUUCCUCUCAUCAUGCUCAACAACAUUCAAAACUAGCACUUAGUCCAUUUCUAAGGCUAACUAGGGCAAACAAAUCAAAACUUCCAUAAAUCCCUAAAAACUUCAAUUAUACAUUUCUCCAUAACAACAACGAAAUAGACUAAUUCCUUUUGAGGGAAUACUCAUCUUGAUGAGGGCUACAAGAUGACCCAAAGAUUCCAACCUAUGGUGGCCGGAGGUGGGAUUUCCGGUAAAA
rnacentral:lncRNA from 1 species